rnacentral:rRNA from 1 species
GUCUGGUCUGUAACUGACGCUGAGGCUCGAAAGUAUGGGUAGCAAACAGGAUUAGAUACCUGGUAGUCCAUACCGUAAACGAUGAAUGCUAAGUGUUGGAGGGUUUCCCCUUUCAGUGCUGCAGCUAACGCAUUAAGCAUUCCGCCUGGGGAGUACGGCCGCAAGGCUGAAACUCAAAGGAAUUGACGGGGGCCCGCACAAGCGGUGGAGCAUGUGGUUUAAUUCGAAGCUACGCGAAGAACCUUACCAGGUCUUGACAUACUAUGCAAAUCUAAGAGAUUAGACGUUCCCUUCGGGGACAUGGAUACAGGUGGUGCAUGGUUGUCGUCAGCUCGUGUCGUGAGAUGUUGGGUUAAGUCCCGCAACGAGCGCAACCCUUAUUAUCAGUUGCCAGCAUUAAGUUGGGCACUCUGGUGAGACUGCCGGUGACAAACCGGAGGAAGGUGGGGAUGACGUCAAAUCAUCAUGCCCCUUAUGACCUGGGCUACACACGUGCUACAAUGGAUGGUACAACGAGUUGCGAACUCGCGAGAGUAAGCUAAUCUCUUAAAGCCAUUCUCAGUUCGGAUUGUAGGCUGCAACUCGCCUACAUGAAGUCGGAAUCGCUAGUAAUCGCGGAUCAGCAUGCCGCGGUGAAUACGUUCCCGGGCCUUGUACACACCGCUCGUCACACCAUGAGAGUUUGUAACACCCAAAGUCGGUGGGGUAACCUUUAGGAACCAGCCGCCUAAGGUGGGACAGAUGAUUAGGGUGAAGUCGUAACAAGGUAACCA